rnacentral:rRNA from 1 species
GUGGGGAAUUUUGGACAAUGGGCGCAAGCCUGAUCCAGCCAUGCCGCGUGUGUGAAGAAGGUCUUCGGAUUGUAAAGCACUUUAAGUUGGGAGGAAGGGCUGCUGGUUAAUACCCUGCAGUUUUGAUGUUACCAACAGAAUAAGCACCGGCUAACUUCGUGCCAGCAGCCGCGGUAAUACGAAGGGUGCAAGCGUUAAUCGGAAUUACUGGGCGUAAAGCGCGCGUAGGUGGUUCGUUAAGUUGGAUGUGAAAGCCCCGGGCUCAACCUGGGAACUGCAUCAAAAACUGCAUGACUAGAGUACGGGAGAGGGUAGUGGAAUUUCCUGUGUAGCGGUGAAAUGCGUAGAUAUAGGAAGGAACACCAGUGGCGAAGGCGACUACCUGGACUGAUACUGACACUGAGGUGCGAAAGCGUGGGGAGCAAACAGGAUUAGAUACCCGAGUAGUCC